GCAGAUGGCGGCGGCGCAGGGCGCCUGAGCGGGCCGGGGCCAUGAGCGCCGCCCGGCCCCAGUUCAGCAUUGAUGAUGCCUUCGAGCUGUCCCUGGAGGACGGGGGCCCUGGGCCCGAGUCCAGCGGGGUCGCGCGCUUUGGGCCGCUGCACUUCGAGCGUCGGGCCCGGUUCGAGGUGGCUGACGAGGACAAGCAGUCCCGGCUGCGCUACCAGAACCUGGAGAACGAUGAGGAUGGAGCCCAGGCCUCUCCGGAGCCGGAUGGGGGAGUCGGCACCAGGUUAGGGCCAGGGAUUCCAGCCGAACUUCCAUCCGCAGCUCCCAGUGGUCCUUCAGCACCAUCAGCAGCAGCACCCAGCGCUCCUACAACACCUGCUGCAGGUGAGCCUGCCCGCCUGAGCCCCCAGCCGAGCAGCCCUGGCUCCGCCCCCACAGCCUCCUGCACCCCCUCCCUCUACCUCCUUCACAUUCACCCUGCUCUCCUGCCACCCAGCUGGACCCAACACCCUUUGAUCCAGAAGAACCGCCGAGUGGUGCUGGCCU
rnacentral:sRNA from 1 species